GACGAACGCUGGCGGCGUGCUUAACACAUGCAAGUCGAACGAAGGGGCAAACGGGUGAGUAACGCGUAAUCAACCUGCCCUUCAGAGGGGGACAACAGUUGGAAACGACUGCUAAUACCGCAUACCGAAGGUGGGGAUUGCGUCUGAUUAGCUAGUUGGAGGGGUAACGGCCCACCAAGGCGAUGAUGAGUAGCCGGGCUGGAGGGAUGGACGGCCACAUUGGGACUGAGAAACGGGCCAAGCUCCUACGGGGGGCAGCCGUGGGGAAUCUUCCGCAAUGGACGAAAGUCUGACGGAGCAACGCCGCGUGAGUGAUGACGGCCUUCGGGUUGUAAAGCUCUGUUAAUCGGGACGCGGUACCGGAAUAGAAAGCCACGGCUAACUACGUGCCAGCAGCCGCGGUAAUAC
rnacentral:rRNA from 1 species